rnacentral:rRNA from 1 species
AGUGAACGCUGGCGGUAGGCCUAACACAUGCAAGUCGAACGGCAGCACAGUAAGAGCUUGCUCUUACGGGUGGCGAGUGGCGGACGGGUGGGGAAUACAUCGGAAUCUACUUUUUCGUGGGGGAUAACGUAGGGAAACUUACGCUAAUACCGCAUACGACCUACGGGUGAAAGCAGGGGAUCUUCGGACCUUGCGCGAUUGAAUGAGCCGAUGUCGGAUUAGCUAGUUGGCGGGGUAAAGGCCCACCAAGGCGACGAUCCGUAGCUGAUCUGAGAGGAUGAUCAGCCACACUGGAACUGAGACACGGUCCAGACUCCUACGGGAGGCAGCAGUGGGGAAUAUUGGACAAUGGGCGCAAGCCUGAUCCAGCUAUACCGCGUGGGUGAAGAAGGCCUUCGGGUUGUAAAGCCCUUUUGUUGGGAAAGAAAAGCAGCAGGUUAAUACCCCGCUGUUCUGACGGUACCCAAAGAAUAAGCACCGGCUAACUUCGUG